GCCGGGAUGGCGGAACUGGCAGACGCACAGGACUCAAAAUCCUGCGGGAGCAAUCCCAUGAGAGUUCGAGUCUCUCUCCCGGCACAA
rnacentral:tRNA from 1 species